CUUCGAACCUCCCUACGUUCCAGGGGGAUGUGAGUUUAUACAGCCUAUGAAUCACAGCCCUGCUUGGAACCAAAGGAGCUUCCU
rnacentral:pre_miRNA from 2 species